GGUGCGAGUAGCUCAGUGGUUAGGACAUUGGUCUUCUUCUUGGAAGGUUGUGAGUUCAAAUCCCAGCACCACCA